GUUAGAUAAGUCUAUAAUUUAAUUUCAGUGCUUAACGCUGUCUUGUUAUAGAAACUGUCUUGACUAGAGUGAGAUAGAGGCAAGCGGAAUUCCAUGUGUAGCGGUAAAAUGUGUAAAUAUAUGGAGGAACACCAGAAGCGUAGGCGGCUUGCUGGGUCUUUACUGACGCUGAGGCACGAAAGCGUGGGUAGCAAACAGGAUUAGAUACCCUGGUAGUCCACGCCGUAAACGAUGAGUACUAAGUGUCGGGGUAAAACUCGGUACUGAAGUUAACACAUUAAGUACUCCGCCUGAGUAGUACGUACGCAAGUAUGAAACUUAAAGGAAUUGACGGGACUCCGCACAAGCGGUGGAUCAUGUUGUUUAAUUCGAAGAUACACGAAAAAUCUUACCAGGUCUUGACAUACUCUGCAAAGCUAUAGAAAUAUAGUGGAGGUUAUCAGGGAUACAGGUGGUGCAUGGUUGUCGUCAGUUCGUGUCGUGAGAUGUUAGGUUAAGUCCUAAAACGAGCGCAACCCUUGUCAUUAAUUGCCAGCACGUUAUGGUGGGGACUUUAAUGAGACUGCCAAUUAAACAUUGGAGGAAGGUGAGGAUUACGUCAAAUCAUCAUGCCCCUUAUGAUCUGGGCUACAAACGUGAUACAAUGGCUGUUACAAAGAGUAGCUGAAACGCGAGUUUUUAGCCAAUCUCAAAAAAGCAGUCUCAGUUCGGAUUGAAGUCUGUAACUCGACUUCAUGAAGUUGGAAUCGCUAGUAAUCGCGAAUCAGCAUGUCGCGGUGAAUACGUUCUCGGGGUU
rnacentral:rRNA from 1 species